rnacentral:lncRNA from 1 species
AUGAAUAUUUCACCAACUCCUUGGGAAUCUCAUUUUCCCCAAAGUCGUGGGGGAUGUGGGGCCCCUGGCCACAUCCGGUCUGUCUCAGCCCUGGCAUCUCAUUUCUCUGACCACGGGUCUGCCUGCUCCCAGAUGCCUACUCCAGGAUGGCCCCCAAGCUCUCUGCACAUCCAUGCACAAAGUGAACUCAGCAGCUCCUCCCAACUGCUCCCGCCUCCUAGACGUCCCCACCAGCUGCCGAUGGCCAAAGCCUUGAGCCUGAGCAUUGUCCCCAAUGCCUCCACAUCCACACCCUCGGCCCAGCUGGUCACCGAGGCCAGGGAGUCUCGUCCUCAGUGUCCUGCAGACCCAUCUGCCCCUCGCCUCUGCCCUGAGUGGCUGUGCUUCCUCCUCACCAGCUGCUCCACCUUGGUGCUCCCUCGUCCCCAAAUCCAGCUUCCCACAGUUACUGUUUGCUGGGCCAUCAGAUGCAGGGCCUCUUCACCUUCAGAAGGAAACCCAAGCACCUUGGCCAGCCUUCCAGCCCUGCCUGGUCCAGCGACCUCUCUCCGUGCCCUGUAUGUUCCAGCCAGCCUGAACCACUCUCCCUUCUCCCAUACGCUAUGUUCCCACUUGCCUCUGAGCCUUUGCACAGGCUGUUCCUCCUGCCUGGAAUGCUCUUCCCCUCCCAGCCCCACUUCUUGUCUCACCACUGCCCAAAUGCCCUUCAGGACCCAACUUAGGAGACACGGGCUUCUUAAACCUUCUUUGACCCCCAAAGUCUGGUUUAGUACCCCCUGGAGUCCUAUGUGUGUGAGUCAGGCUACAGCUGCAGGAACCAGAAACUGGUCCAGGUAUUUUAUGCAGAAAGGGUGGAAUACAGGGAAUUGGAAGAAAAUCACUAGAAGGGCGGGAAGGGCUCCGAAACAAGGAGCAGAACUGGCCCAUAUGGGAGCUGCCCCUCGGCCGGUCGGGAUGGUGGGGCAUCAGCAGGCCGCGCGGGAGCUGGUGGCUUGGAGAACAGGCCACCCAGCAGCUCUCUGGAGACAGGAGCCCCCCUCCCCAGACCUCCAAACUGGUCACCAGGCAUGUACGUUGCUGUAA